GGGGAUUUAGCUCAGUGGCAUAAGCACCUGCCUUGCAAGCCGGCGGUCAUGACUUCAAUCCCCG
rfam:Cavia porcellus supercont2_39 genomic scaffold, whole genome shotgun sequence.